GAUGCCAGCAAAUAGUCAAGGAAUCACCAAACCCGGCAGUUUCAUAUAUGAGCUUUUUCAAACAGCUCAUGUGAACUCUGAUACUAAAACAGCUGUGGUGGAAGCCAUGGAACAGGUCACAGGAUAUUUAGCAGGGAGGCCUGGUGUCUUUCUGAACACUAGUGGACUACAGAAAGUGGCGGAUAUAAUCCAGCUGGUGUUUGGGGCUGAACCUCCAGAGGGCAGCAAGAAAUCACAGAUGGGAAACAGCAUGAAGGAGUUUAAGGU